rnacentral:rRNA from 1 species
GUCUAUGGCCAUGCCACCCUGAACAAACUUAAUCCUGUCUGAUCUUGUAAGCUAAGCAAGGUUGGGCCUGGUUAGUACUUGGAUGGGAGACCACCUAGAAAGACCAGGUGCUGUAGGUG